AACUUAAGCAUAUCAAUAAGCGGAGGAAAAGAAACCAACAGGGAUUACCUCAGUAACGGCGAGUGAAGCGGUAACAGCUCAAAUUUGAAAGCUAGCUCUUUGAGGGUUCGCAUUGUAAUUUGUAGAAGAUGCUUCGGGUGUGGCCCCGGUCUAAGUUCCUUGGAACAGGACGUCAUAGAGGGUGAGAAUCCCGUAUGUGACUGGGUGCUUUCGCUCAUGUGAAGCUCUUUCGACGAGUCGAGUUGUUUGGGAAUGCAGCUCUAAAUGGGUGGUACAUUUCAUCUAAAGCUAAAUAUUGGCCAGAGACCGAUAGCGCACAAGUAGAGUGAUCGAAAGAUGAAAAGCACUUUGGAAAGAGAGUUAAACAGUACGUGAAAUUGUUGAAAGGGAAGCGCUUGCAACCAGACUUGCGCGCUGAUGAUCAUCCGGGCUUCUGCCCGGUGCACUCGUCUGCGCUCAGGCCAGCAUCGGUUUCGGUGGUGGGAUAAAGGCCUUGGGAAUGUAGCUCCUCUCGGGGAGUGUUAUAGCCCUCGGUGCAAUGCCGCCUACCGGGACCGAGGACCGCGCUUCGGCUAGGAUGCUGGCGUAAUGGUUGUAAGCGACCCGUCUUGAAACACGGACCAAGGAGUCUAACAUCUAUGCGAGUGUUUGGGUGUCAAACCCAUACGCGUAAUGAAAGUGAACGGAGGUGAGAACCCUUAAGGGUGCAUCAUCGACCGGUCCUGAUGUCUUCGGAUGGAUCUGAGUAAGAGCAUAGCUGUUGGGACCCGAAAGAUGGUGAACUAUGCGUGAAUAGGGUGAAGCCAGAGGAAACUCUGGUGGAGGCUCGCAGCGGUUCUGACGUGCAAAUCGAUCGUCAAAUUUGCGUAUAGGGGCGAAAGACUAAUCGAACCAUCUAGUAGCUGG
rnacentral:rRNA from 1 species